rnacentral:lncRNA from 1 species
AAUAGGUACUGUCACGGAGAAAACAGUCCGCUGAGUAAACUGUCCGGCCGGACAGUUUACUCCGGAGUAGAAUGUCCUAGUUGGUCCUAUCCGUCCGGUUAGGACAAUUUACUCCGGAGCAAACUGUCCUACGUUGGAGUAAACUGUCCUACCAGAGUUGCUAAAAAGUCGAAACCUAAAACGCCGGAAAGCCGAAAUGCCAAAAACAAACAUAAAAUUCUGUUUCCUUUUGGGUAAGGAAACACGAAAUUCUGUUUCCUUUUGGGUAGUUUUUUGCAACGGAAUUGCCAAAUGUUUUGAAUGUUUUGAAAAUGUUUAUCACGACUUAGGUACAUAUAUUAUAAAAUAAUUUUGAACCGUAACUGCCUGCUCUUUGAUGAAAUGUAAAGAGAAGUUAUUGACAAGUUAUUGCGCAUUUUACUUGUUUAAAAGUAUAAGUCAUAAUUAAUUUACAGAAUAAACACAAACAGUUUGUUUAAAUAUCAAUAAUAAACGUUUAUUAUUGGUAUUUAAACAAAACUGUUUGUUUAAACCUUUCACUGGCAAUUGGUGUCUAAAUGUGAAAAGAAAAGCUUAAGUUGUUUUACUCAAUGGUUUUCUUUCCAGACACUGCUGAACUUAGAUUUAUGGAUGUUUUAGCCUAAGAAAAUAUAACUUCUAUGUAAAAUGGAAAAGUUCACUAAUAUGUUUUUCCUGUGAUAUUACAGUUAGAGUCUUUAGAGUUAAUUCAGCAUUUACAGAUACUAAGCGGUGGAAGUAUAUCCGCAGAUUGAGUAAACAGAUUAAAUCCUCAACAGUUAAAAUAACUAUGAUUGUGCAGGAAUACAGUUAUGUUGUUGCAUAUUGGAUUUAUAGAAGAUGAUAAUGUAUAGUUUCCACAAGGUUUAAAAGAUGGAAAAUAGUCUAUAAAUGAUCAGGAGAGUAAGGGCUUUUCGUACAUGGCUAGUUUUGUAUAACCCAAGAUCAUUUGCUGUGAAUAGCUCCUGCACUUGAUAUUGUUACUUAAUUUAAAAAACUGACGGCGUAUGUACUAAAAAAUACUAAAAAGAUUUUAAAUAUGUCUAUGAUUAUAUAUAUGCGAUUUUAAUAUAAUAUAGUAUGAUAGGUUUAGCAAUACAUUAUAAAUAUUUACUGAGGCGUAUCAUUAAAUGAGUUUGCAUUUUAUAUUUUCAUUUUAUAUUUUCAUUGCUAAAAAGUUAUUUAAAUAUUUUAUAAAUAAUCGAGUUUUAAUAUAUAUUUAUUGGUUAUAUUCACAGAUGAAAAUUUUCCGGGAAUUCUAUUACUAAAAGUAUUAAUUUCUGAACCAUUUUCUCAGAUUUUAUAUUUAAAAAGUAAAUAAAUUAUUACUCUUUGCAAACUGUUUACGGUAAAACUGAGACAUUGUAUUUGAUUUUAAAGAAUUUUGAAGAAAAAUAAUUA